GGGGAAGUAUAUAUAAGCACCCGUUUAUUAUAUAUAUAUAUACACACAUAUGUCUGUACCGCCACAAGACCCCAAUUAAAACCAAGACCAAGCAUUUCAAAAGUCGCGGCAAUUGAGUCUGUGAGGUCUUCGUUAUCGUACUCUGGCAACUUGCUAUAUUACACACGCACACACAUAUAUACAGCUACAUAAUCAGCGACCUUUUAUUUAUUUAUUUAUUUUUUACAGUAGAGGAGUGGCCGAGCGAUAGAAGAGCUGUGUGAGAUGGACCCCCCCCACACGUGAGAUGCAUACUCCAUACGAGGGCGGACAAGGCCCCUGUAUAUGGAUAGCCACUGUGCGGGGGAGAAGAACUGGCGGAGACGGUACAGAACGCCCAAACUCGAGGAAGCUGAUUUAGGGAGAGAAGAGAUGUGGUUUCCAGUUGAGAUUUUGAGUUAAGGAUAGACCGAGGAUGUUUAGUGUUGAAGAAGGUGACAGCUGAGUGUUGUCGAAGAAUAGGGGAUAGGUGUUUGGAAGAUUGUGUCGAGUUGAUAGGUGGAGAAAUUGGGUUUUUGAGGCAUUGAAGGACACAAGGUUCCUUCUACCCCAAUCGUUGUUGAAGAAUAGGGGAUUGGUGUUUGGAAGAUUGUGUCGAGUUGAUAGGUGGAGAAAUUGAGUUUUUGAGGCAUUGAAGGACACAAGGUUCCUUCUACCCCAAUCGUUGUUGAAGAAUAGGGGAUUGGUGUUUGGAAGAUUGUGUCGAGUUGAUAGGUGGAGAAAUUGGGUUUUUGAGGCACUGAAGGACACAAGGUUCCUUCUACCCCAAUCGUUGUUGAAGAAUAGGGGAUUGGUGUUUGGAAGAUUGUGUCGAGUUGAUAGGUGGAGAAAUUGAGUUUUUGAGGCAUUGAAGGACACAAGGUUCCUUCUACCCCAAUCGGAGAUGACUGCAAGGUCUGAGGUUAAGCGUUCUGCAGCCUCGGCCUUAUAAACUAAAACAGAUUUCUGCGACAAUUUCAAUAAUAUGAUUAAUACUGACAACUGUGCUCUGUGAAUAGGCUAUCAUAUAACAUCGUAGACGCCAUGACAGCAGGUUGCCAGCGCGCGAUAAUUCACACCUCAGUCUCGGGUGUCGCGAAAAACCCCCAUUCUGCAGCUCAGCCUUAUAAACUAAAACAGAUUUCUGCGACAAUUUCAAUAAUAUGAUUAAUACUGACAAAUGUGCCCUGUGAAUAGGCUAUCAUAUAACAUCGUAGACGCCAUGACAGCAGGUUGCCAGCGCGCGAUAAUUCACACCUCAGUCUCGGGUGCCGCGAAAAGAGCCCGUUACACAGAGAUGGCCUUGGCACAGCACCAGUAUAGAUCCUCCUCCUCAUCUCU